AACCACUUUCUUUGCUCAUCCA
rnacentral:miRNA from 1 species